rnacentral:tRNA from 1 species
GCCCGUGUAGCUCAGACGGCCAGAGCGCACCCUUGGUAAGGGUGAGGUCGGCGGUUCGAAUCCGCCCGCGGGCUCCA